rnacentral:misc_RNA from 1 species
CAGAGUUCAUGCCCUUACGGGUAGAUCUCCCACCCUUGAAUAUAUUACCUUUGUUGCUUUGGCAGGCCGCGUUUACGCCAGAGGCUUCGGCUUUUGAGUGCCUGCCAGAGGACCACAACUCUGUUUUUAGUGACGUCUGAGUACUAUGUAAUAGUUA